rnacentral:rRNA from 1 species
ACAGAGGUCCCAAGCGUUGUUCGGAUUCACUGGGCGUAAAGGGUGCGUAGGCGGUCGGGUAAGUCUGAUGUGAAAGCUCGGAGCUCAACUCCGAAUGGCAUCGGAUACUAUUCGGCUAGAGGAAUGGAGGGGAGACUGGAAUACUUGGUGUAGCAGUGAAAUGCGUAGAUAUCAGGAGGAACACCGAUGGCGAAGGCAAUCCCCUGGGCCUGCACUGACGCUCAUGCACGAAAGCGUGGGGAGCAAACAGGA